ACUCAAAUGAAUAGACGGGGACCCGCACAAGCAGCGGAGCAUGUGGUUUAAUUCGAAGCAACGCGAAGAACCUUACCGGGACUUGACAUCCCUCUGACAGGACCUUAACCGGUCCCUUCUUCGGACAGAGGAGACAGGUGGUGCAUGGUUGUCGUCAGCUCGUGUCGUGAGAUGUUGGGUUAAGUCCCGCAACGAGCGCAACCCUUGUCAUUAGUUGCCAUCAUUCAGUUGGGCACUCUAGUGAGACUGCCGGGGAUAACUCGGAGGAAGGUGGGGACGACGUCAAAUCAUCAUGCCCCUUAUGUCCCGGGCUACACACGUGCUACAAUGGCCGGCACAACGAGACGCAAGACCGCGAGGUGGAGCAAAUCUUCAAAACCGGCCCCAGUUCGGAUUGCAGGCUGCAACUCGCCUGCAUGAAGUCGGAGUUGCUAGUAAUCGCAGAUCAGAAUGCUGCGGUGAAUGCGUUCCCGGGUCUUGCACACACCGCCCGU
rnacentral:rRNA from 1 species